UACGGAGGAUGCAAGCGUUAUCCGGAAUGAUUGGGCGUAAAGCGUCCGCAGGUGGCUAUGUAAGUCUGCUGUUAAAGAGUGAGGCUCAACCUCAUAAGAGCAGUGGAAACUACAUGGCUAGAGUGCGUUCGGGGCAGAGGGAAUUCCUGGUGUAGCGGUGAAAUGCGUAGAUAUCGGUAGGAACACCAGUGGCGAAGGCGACUUCCUGGCCUGUUCUUGACGCUGAGGCGCGAAAGCUAGGGGAGCAAACGGG
rnacentral:rRNA from 1 species